AGCAUAUCAAUAAGCGGAGGAAAAGAAACCAACAGGGAUUGCCCUAGUAACGGCGAGUGAAGCGGCAACAGCUCAAAUUUGAAAUCUGGCGCAAGCCCGAGUUGUAAUUUGUAGAGGAUGUUUCUGGCGACGUACCUUCCGAGUUCCCUGGAACGGGACGCCAUAGAGGGUGAGAGCCCCGUACGGUUGGUUGCCUAGCCUUUGUGAAACUCCUUCGACGAGUCGAGUAGUUUGGGAAUGCUGCUCUAAAUGGGAGGUAUACGUCUUCUAAAGCUAAAUACCGGCCAGAGACCGAUAGCGCACAAGUAGAGUGAUCGAAAGAUGAAAAGCACUUUGAAAAGAGGGUUAAAUAGUACGUGAAAUUGUUGAAAGGGAAGCGUUUAUGACCAGACUUGGGUAGGUUGAUCAUCCGUGGUUCUCCGCGGUGCACUCUGCCUGCCUAGGCCAGCAUCAGUUCAGUUCGGGGGAUAAAGGCUUCGGGAAUGUAGCUCCCUCGGGAGUGUUAUAGACCGUUGCGUAAUACCCUGAUCUGGACUGAGGUUCGCGCACUGCAAGGAUGCUGGCGUAAUGGUCAUCAGCGACCCGUCUUGAAACACGGACCAAGGAGUCGUCUUCGUAUGCGAGUGUUCGGGUGUCAAACCCCUACGCGUAAUGAAAGUGAACGUAGGAGAGAGCUUCGGCGCAUCUCCGACCGAUCCUGAUGUUCUCGGAUGGAUUUGAGUAAGAGCAUACGGGGCCGGACCCGAAAGAAGGUGAACUAUGCCUGUAUAGGGUGAAGCCAGAGGAAACUCUGGUGGAGGCUCGCAGCGGUUCUGACGUGCAAAUCGAUCGUCAAAUAUGGGCAUGGGGGCGAAAGACUAAUCGAACCUUCUAGUAGCUGGUUUCCGCCG
rnacentral:rRNA from 1 species